rnacentral:rRNA from 1 species
GACGAACGCUGGCGGCGUGCUUAAUACAUGCAAGUCGAACGGAAAGGCUACAGCUUGCUGGGGUACACGAGUGGGGAACGGGUGAGUAACACGCGGGUGACCUGCCCUGCACUUCGGGAUAAGACUGGGAAACAGGGGCUAAUAUAGGAUAGGACAAUGGGGUGGAUACUGUGGAGGAAAGAUUUUUCGGUGUGCGAUGGGUCAGCGGUCUAUCAGCUGGUUGGUGGGGUAAUGGCAUACCAAGGCGGUGACGGGGAGCCGGCCUGAGAAGGUGGACGGCCACAUUGGGACUGAGGCACGGCCCAGUCUCCUACGGGAGGCAGCAGUGGGGAGUAUUGCGCAAUGGGCGGAAGCCUGAUGCAGCGACGCCGCGUUGGGGAUGACGGCCUUCGGGGUGUAAACUCCUUUCUCCAUCGACGAAGAGUUUCUGACGGUAGAUGGAGAAGAAGCACCGGCUAACUACGUG